GGCCGCGAGCCCCUCGGACGGCUGUCAAACCUCGGCUGCCGCCGGGUGACAGGGGCGGGAGGAGGGCGCGACGCGGCGGCCAGAGCCCGAGCGGUCGAGGGGGAUCCUCGCAGCAGCAGCAGCAGCGGCGGCGGCGGUGGCGGCCGCUCACCUGGAAAGUCACCGCUGAGUAGGAGAAGGAGGAGGAGGACGGAGAGAACGAGGAAGAGGAGGGAGAGGAGGAGGGGGAGGAAACCCCCCUGGUGCCCUUGUUCUUGCUGCCGCGGCGGCCGCUCCUCGCCGAGGCUGAGCGUGUCUGACCUACAAUCAGUGUAUUUCUGAGGACCCUAUCCAAAGGCGACAUUGCCCUGAAGAAUGACUCUGCAAAAUAAAGCAGUUGAGGAAAGAAUCAUCUAAUAAUCUUGAUUCUGAGGUAUUAAGAGAGCCACAUAAUUUCCACGUGGCAUUUUCACAGUCAGAAAUCACUUCAAACUGAAAGCACUUUCAUUCACAAGACCAGACAGCCGAACGACCUUCUGGAUGUCCUUCCAGAUGACCUUCAGGACAACCU